UCGGGAAUUUUGCUCAAUGGGCGCAAGCCUGAAGCAGCAACGCCGCGUGAGGGAUGAAGGCCUUCGGGUUGUAAACCUCUUUUCUCAGGGACGAUGAUGACGGUACCUGAGGAAUAAGUCACGGCUAACUACGUGCCAGCAGCCGCGGUAAUACGUAGGUGACCAGCGUUGUCCGGAUUUAAUGGGCGUAAAGAGCGAGCAGGCGGUCGUUCAAGUCGAGUGUGAAAGCCCCCGGCUCAACUGGGGAGGGUCACUCGAUACUGAUCGACUUGAAGGCAGGAGAGGGAAGCGGAAUUCCCGGUGUAGUGGUGAAAUGCGUAGAUAUCGGGAGGAACACCAGUGGCGAAGGCGGCUUCCUGGCCUGUUCUUGACGCUGAGGCGCGAAAGCUAGGGGAGCAAACG
rnacentral:rRNA from 1 species